CGCGUAGGUGGGUUAUUAAGUCAGUUGUGAAAGCCCAGGGCUUAACCUUGGAACUGCAAUUGAUACUGGUGACCUAGAGUACAGUAGAGGAAGGUGGAAUUUCAGGUGUAGCGGUGAAAUGCGUAGAGAUCUGAAGGAACAUCAGUGGCGAAGGCGGCCUUCUGGACUGAUACUGACACUGAGGUGCGAAAGCGUGGGUAGCAAACA
rnacentral:rRNA from 1 species